GUUUCUGUAGUGUAGCGGUUAUCACGUGCGCCUAAGGCGCGCAAGGUCCGCAGGUCAAUCCUGGGCGGAAACA
rnacentral:tRNA from 1 species